ACCAGACUCCUACGGGAGGCAGCAGUGGGGGAUAUUGCACAAUGGGGGGAACCCUGAUGCAGCGACGCCGCGUGGGUGAAGAAGCGCCUCGGCGCGUAAAGCCCUGUCAGCAGGGAAGAAAAUGACGGUACCUGAAGAAGAAGCCCCGGCUAACUACGUGCCAGCAGCCGCGGUAAUACGUAGGGGGCAAGCGUUAUCCGGAUUUACUGGGUGUAAAGGGGGCGCAGACGGCGAUGCAAGCCAGGAGUGAAAGCCCGGGGCCCAACCCCGGGACUGCUCUUGGAACUGCGUGGCUGGAGUGCAGGAGGGGCAGGCGGAAUUCCUGGUGUAGCGGUGAAAUGCGUAGAUAUCAGGAGGAACACCGGUGGCGAAGGCGGCCUGCUGGACUGCAACUGACGUUGAGGCCCGAAAGCGUGGGGCGCAAACAGGAUUAGAUACCCCCGUAC
rnacentral:rRNA from 1 species